rnacentral:rRNA from 1 species
ACGCGAGGAACCUUACCAGGUCUUGACAUCCUCUGACACUCCUAGAGAUAGGACGUUCCCCUUCGGGGGACAGAGUGACAGGUGGUGCAUGGUUGUCGUCAGCUCGUGUCGUGAGAUGUUGGGUUAAGUCCCGCAACGAGCGCAACCCUUGAUCUUAGUUGCCAGCAUUUAGUUGGGCACUCUAAGGUGACUGCCGGUGACAAACCGGAGGAAGGUGGGGAUGACGUCAAAUCAUCAUGCCCCUUAUGACCUGGGCUACACACGUGCUACAAUGGAUGGUACAAAGGGCUGCAAGACCGCGAGGUUUAGCCAAUCCCAUAAAACCAUUCUCAGUUCGGAUUGCAGGCUGCAACUCGCCUGCAUGAAGCUGGAAUCGCUAGUAAUCGCGGAUCAGCAUGCCGCGGUGAAUACGUUCCCGGGCCUUGCACUCACCGCCCGU